AUCUCGGUGGUCUAAAGGCUUGGGACGCUCGCACGGAAUGCAAGAGAUCCGGGUUCGAUUCCCAGCCGAGGUA
rnacentral:tRNA from 1 species